UGAUUUAUUCCGGUUUAUGAAGAAUUAAAUCUACGGAUUUAAUUUAGAAUUUAUUCUAGCUAAGAAAGGAAGCAGAUAUCGAGUAGUUUCAUAAACACGCGAUAUUAACAAAACCCAGUAGUUGGAUUUUUUUUAAAAAAAAAAUGCAAUACAAUAUUACAGAUAUAGAAAUUCCAAGACAAGAAUUAUUGCUUCUGUUUAUACUUCACUUUACAAACCCCUAUUUUUCUAUCUAUCUACCAACACUUAAAAAAAAAAGGAAUAGUGUAUGUGUGUGAAAGAAAUCUGCAGCUAUCCCUUAAGCGCAUGCUCAGCCAUAUUUUUGACUCCAGCUCCACGCCUUUGUAAUAUUCUUCUUUGACUCCAGCUCCAGCAGCAUAUUUGCAAAAUUUUCACACCCGAACACCUUCAUGUGGUUUCAGAUUUCAGCAGCUAUUAAUCCUCAUCUCAUACCCAU
rnacentral:lncRNA from 1 species